UAUUAAUUAUGGUCGUAAUAUGUUGUACAUACGGCAACAGGCCAUCUGAAAGGCAGAACUCCACCCAGUAGGCUCACCCUUUAAUGUCACAGCUUAACAGACAAGUAGUCUGUCUCCUCCCUUUCCAAAAUAAAAUAGAUUCCGCAAACCUCACGAAAUUGUAUUAAAUGCUCUGAAUUUACAAUUUAUCGAGGGUGCCAUUUUGUAAAUCUAAAAAAAAACCGAAAAGGACCCCUUGUCUUCCGGAAAUGGUUUAUGUCUAUGCCCCCAGACCAGUUUUUCUUGCUGUGCUGGACCUAUGUUAAAAUGUGUUCAACUGCAUAGGGAUAUGAUAGUUAAUUUAAUAAAGCCAUAUCCUUUUGUUGUUCCCAAGGAAAAUAAUACCUAAUAGAGGAAGUAUAUGAAAAUAAAUUUGUAAUAAAAUGUUCUUGAGUUGAAACGGGUAA